ACAUGUUCAUCCUUAUAGUGUAGCAUAUCAUUCUUACUGUGAGGAGAGAACAGGCUGAAUGAUUCAGUUAAAAGUGAAUUUCCUUGUCGAUAGAAAGGUUAGAAGGAAAUAAAUGGCAGCUUUAAACUUUAUGUAGUGUUCAUUAUUUCUUUGUAUAAUCUUUACCUCGCCCUACUUUUAUAUGUUUCAUAUACCGCUCGUCCGCAAAUGAUGGGUAUGAGGUGAUGGAAAUGUCAACGGUUGCAUCUCAUGGCAGUGUUCUGACACCCUCCUUAUCUAGGUCCGCUGUCAUGGCCGCCAGAUGCAGAAUCCAUGGGGGCAAACCAUGUUCGUUGUCGUACGGAAGCCAUGCCACAAUGGGUAUGCAUGACACUUAUUCAAUGUCUCAGGACCAUCGAGCAUGAUCAAGAAGAAAUACAGAAUGUUCUGAGCAGGUAUGUACAUUCCAGCGACAGAUGCUCUAUUUCAAAAUUCUAAGCUUCCUGGCGGUUUUAUCUUGGUGACCAUAUGUAUUGCUUCAGAUAUUAGAAAGUUGAGAUGAUCAGAAUAAUUUAAAUCUAAAUGUUUAGAAGAACAGGUAUCAGAAUAAUUGCAGCCGUAUUGGUACUCUUGGCACAUCCUAUGCUAUGCUAUUAUCAGAAAAAAUGGAACUGUAGCAAUUCCAUUACGACACAUGCUCGGCUAAAUCACCUGUCACCAGGACAUGUACAAAUUUCGGAGCCCACUCCAUCCAUAGUGACUUAGGAAUGUGCCGUCUCUCACCCCCAUCAAGUACCAUGCUUUGAUCCAAGUUGGUGCUCAGAGAAUUGUUUGCAGAUGACUGAGAUAAAAUUCUAAAUUCUAAAUUUAUUUAGAAGAAUAUUACAUAUGUGAGUACUGAGUAUAAUGCAAAAGAAAAAUUGACCUUCUCGGCUCAAUCCUCUAUCAAGAAGCAUAUGAAAAUCAUAAAAUUGAAAUAAUCUGAUUAUCUAUGAAAUACCUUAGUGGUCUUCGUUGUUGGAGUCUCAUGGUUCAGAUUAUGCCCACAAUUUUUAUUUGAGUUUCUUAACAGGUCAGAGGUGAAACAAUAAUAUUUUCAAGUUAAUCAAGUGUGCAGUCUUUAUACAGUUAAAAUGUACUGUUGGCAGAGUGUUCUAAUUGAUGUUUCCAAAUGUAAGUUAUGCAUGAUCUGGGUGUCCCAUUUCAAAUAUGUUUGUUUGUGUCUCUCAUUCUAACUUUUGUUCCUCUUGAUGCAAAUAUGUACUUGCUAUUCUAUAAAACAUAGUAUGGUGUUGUUUAGAUCCUGGCUCAUUAGAGACCUUGAAACAUGCAUGAAGAGGAGAGUUGUGCUCCCUGCCAGACAUAUGCAUAGUCCAUUGACAGAUCAUCUAUUCUUUUACUACAACAUAAAUCCCGAAACCUAACUGUUCUUUUUCGAUUGACUGAAUGUAAUGAAGACGAGCUGAAAAGGUUGGAGAUCGACAGUUCAUACUAUAAAUCCCGAGACUUGCUGUUCUUUUGGAUUGGGUAUAUUUAAUGAACAUCCGUUGAAAAGGUAGAAGAUCUCAGUUUGUUGCUUCCACGGUUCCACCUCAGGAUCCCAGUUAUAAAUUUGCUUCUUUUGUGUGCUUGUGCAAGUGCCAUUCUUUUAAUUUUUCUUGGGGUGUCAGACCUGUCGCACUUUCUCAUGCCUUCCAAUGAAUUUCUUAAUAUUAGGAUUUGUCCAUGCAAAAAAACAUAUCUAAAGGACAACUGGAGAUAUUUAAUGUGGAGAUUUUAGAAGUACACAAUUACUCCUUAGGAUUUUGGAGAUUAAGCCCGAAAGAGUUCUGUUCCGUGUCUUCGACCAUAUGUUUGUGCAUUGGCUUACGAAGUGGACAACCAUUACCAUGAUCAAUCAUGUACGUCAGAGUUUGCCUCGCUAUGCUUGCAUGAUUAACUCACCAAAGUAUACUUGGUAACGUUAAUGCCAGGACUUACCUUUCCGGUAAAUACAGAAAAAUGCCUGAAACUUCGCAAGUUUUAUGCCUCCUUCUAUGCAGUGUUUUUACCUGAAUGUCCACUCUUCCGUUUCUGUGCAGAUGCUAUUGGUAUAUUGGAAUCUAUAUGGUCUGUUGUCACCAAUUGAUGUUUAAGGUCGCCCAAGCGGUUCUAAGUCUCUCAGCAAGCUACCGGUCUGGAGUCGCAUACAAAUAUUUUUGGAGAUUGCUUUGCGUGAAAGGCCACAUGGAUAUUUGUGCCUUUUUGAGCUUAUCUGUGAGAAAUCAAAUGGAGUUGAGAUGACCACUAUAUAAGAGUUGCGUGUUAUGAAUCUACAUAUAGGAUUGGUAAGUAUUUGUUGUUUACUCGACGGUUUACCUUUAAAUAGGACAUUGCAUUGUGUUUCACAGUGUAAACUGCUCGUAUGCAAAACUAAGAUUGAUGACUUGCAGCGCAACCAGAACUGGUGUUUUCUUUCAUGUGAUGGUUGUACUUGGAAGUUAAUUCUAGAAGAUACUGUUUAGAGGUAUUCCAAGGAGCAUGCUCAAACUAAACCACGAGCCUAGUUAAUAGGAUUUUUAGUUUACUUCAGAUAAUUAUUAUAUUGCAGCAGGAGAAAGCUUUGUUGUUGAGGUGGUUUUAUUUUGUGAUAUAUUACCUCUGUACAGAAUUAUAAGACGGUACAGUGUGGUAAAACGUCUUAUAAAUCGGUACAGAGGGAGUAGGCCAAGACUGAAAUCAGUAAAAGUGUUAAUGUUCCGGUGACUGAAACCCAUAUGUGCUGUCUAUCGAGCCUACAGAAAUCUCUAUUUUGGUUUGGAGGAAUUAGUUCAUGGGUGUCACCAUUUCAUAGUAGUAAUUCUUAGAAAAGACGUCCCUUUCCAAGUCCUUCGGUUUUACCAAUAAGGCUACAUUAUUUUUGCCUUUGCAUCAUCUGGAUCAUAUGCCGGCAAAACAUGGUUCAGGGUUAUUACAUGCUUUUCUGUUUGCAUUGUGUAAUACUCACCUAUUGUUUGCUAAAGCCAGGCAAGGAAGUGGCGACAAGGGGGUCGAGUCACCUGGGAUUGAUGCAGCUCUUCUUUCAGGAUCAGACACUCCACCUGCUAUUCUGGUUUGUAUGGAAACGGUUAUUAGUUGAGCCCUUUCAACCCAGUGACUUAUAAUGUUCAAUUGAGGAAGACUCUCCAUAGAAUCUACGGGCAGUGAGAAGGCCGGGGAUAUAGUUGAUGCCAUCUAACCAAUUUUCCAAAGAAUGCAGUGCCUCGGGCGUUGAUUUAUUGUUGCCUCACAUUUCGUAGAUGGUUGUUGGUUGCCGGCAUUGAAGAAAAUUUGUUUGACAAUGCACAAAGAGGUCGACCAUAUGUUUCAUGCCGAGACAUUAUGGUUGCUGGACUACAUCCAUUUUGAUUGUAUCCUAUUUGCCUUUUUUUUAGGCCAGCCUAUGAAUAAAUGUAUCAACAGCGACAAACUUUUUAUUUGUUGCGGACUAAGAGGUGAAAUUGAGGUCAUGAUGUUGUCUACCCUA